UGUGAACUCGAAGAGUAGGGCGGGACACGUGGUAUCCUGUCUGAAUAUGGGGGGACCAUCCUCCAAGGCUAAAUACUCCUGACUGACCGAUAGUGAACCAGUACCGUGAGGGAAAGGCGAAAAGAACCCCGGCGAGGGGAGUGAAAAAGAACCUGAAACCGUGUACGUACAAGCAGUGGGAGCACCUUCGGGUGUGACUGCGUACCUUUUGUAUAAUGGGUCAGCGACUUAUAUUCUGUAGCAAGGUUAACCGUAUAGGGGAGCCGCAGGGAAACCGAGUCUUAACUGGGCGUUAAGUUGCAGGGUAUAGACCCGAAACCCGGUGAUCUAGCCAUGGGCAGGUUGAAGGUUGGGUAACACUAACUGGAGGACCGAACCGACUAAUGUUGAAAAAUUAGCGGAUGACUUGUGGCUGGGGGUGAAAGGCCAAUCAAACCGGGAGAUAGCUGGUUCUCCCCGAAAGCUAUUUAGGUAGCGCCUCGUGAACUCAUCUUCGGGGGUAGAGCACUGUUUCGGCUAGGGGGUCAUCCCGACUUACCAACCCGAUGCAAACUACGAAUACCGAAGAAUGUUAUCACGGGAGACACACGGCGGGUGCUAACGUCCGUCGUGAAGAGGGAAACAACCCAGACCGCCAGCUAAGGUCCCAAAGUCAUGGUUAAGUGGGAAACGAUGUGGGAAGGCACAGACAGCCAGGAUGUUGGCUUAGAAGCAGCCAUCAUUUAAAGAAAGCGUAAUAGCUCACUGGUCGAGUCGGCCUGCGCGGAAGAUGUAACGGGGCUAAACCAUGCACCGAAGCUGCGGCAGCGACACUAUGUGUUGUUGGGUAGGGGAGCGUUCUGUAAGCCUGCGAAGGUGUGCUGUGAGGCAUGCUGGAGGUAUCAGAAGUGCGAAUGCUGACAUAAGUAACGAUAAAGCGGGUGAAAAGCCCGCUCGCCGGAAGACCAAGGGUUCCUGUCCAACGUUAAUCGGGGCAGGGUGAGUCGACCCCUAAGGCGAGGCCGAAAGGCGUAGUCGAUGGGAAACAGGUUAAUAUUCCUGUACUUGGUGUUACUGCGAAGGGGGGACGGAGAAGGCUAUGUUAGCCGGGCGACGGUUGUCCCGGUUUAAGCAUGUAGGCUGGUUGUCCAGGCAAAUCCGGAUAAUCAAGGCUGAGGUGUGAUGACGAGGCACUACGGUGCUGAAGUAACAAAUGCCCUGCUUCCAGGAAAAGCCUCUAAGCAUCAGGUAACAUUAAAUCGUACCCCAAACCGACACAGGUGGUCAGGUAGAGAAUACCAAGGCGCUUGAGAGAACUCGGGUGAAGGAACUAGGCAAAAUGGUGCCGUAACUUCGGGAGAAGGCACGCUGGUGUGUAGGUGAAGUCCCUGCGGAUGGAGCUGAGACCAGUCGAAGAUACCAGCUGGCUGCAACUGUUUAUUAAAAACACAGCACUGUGCAAACACGAAAGUGGACGUAUACGGUGUGACGCCUGCCCGGUGCCGGAAGGUUAAUUGAUGGGGUUAUCCGUAAGGAGAAGCUCUUGAUCGAAGCCCCGGUAAACGGCGGCCGUAACUAUAACGGUCCUAAGGUAGCGAAAUUCCUUGUCGGGUAAGUUCCGACCUGCACGAAUGGCGUAAUGAUGGCCAGGCUGUCUCCACCCGAGACUCAGUGAAAUUGAACUCGCUGUGAAGAUGCAGUGUACCCGCGGCAAGACGGAAAGACCCCGUGAACCUUUACUAUAGCUUGACACUGAACAUUGAGCCUUGAUGUGUAGGAUAGGUGGGAGGCUUUGAAGCGUGGACGCCAGUCUGCGUGGAGCCAACCUUGAAAUACCACCCUUUAAUGUUUGAUGUUCUAACGUUGGCCCCUGACCGGGGUUGCGGACAGUGUCUGGUGGGUAGUUUGACUGGGGCGGUCUCCUCCCAAAGCGUAACGGAGGAGCACGAAGGUUAGCUAAUCCUGGUCGGACAUCAGGAGGUUAGUGCAAUGGCAUAAGCUAGCUUGACUGCGAGCGUGACGGCGCGAGCAGGUGCGAAAGCAGGUCAUAGUGAUCCGGUGGUUCUGAAUGGAAGGGCCAUCGCUCAACGGAUAAAAGGUACUCCGGGGAUAACAGGCUGAUACCGCCCAAGAGUUCAUAUCGACGGCGGUGUUUGGCACCUCGAUGUCGGCUCAUCACAUCCUGGGGCUGAAGUAGGUCCCAAGGGUAUGGCUGUUCGCCAUUUAAAGUGGUACGCGAGCUGGGUUUAGAACGUCGUGAGACAGUUCGGUCCCUAUCUGCCGUGGGCGCUGGAGAAUUGAGGGGGGCUGCUCCUAGUACGAGAGGACCGGAGUGGACGCAUCACUGGUGUUCGGGUUGUCAUGCCAAUGGCACUGCCCGGUAGCUAAAUGCGGAAGAGAUAAGUGCUGAAAGCAUCUAAGCACGAAACUUGCCCCGAGAUGAGUUCUCCCUGAGACUUUAAGUCUCCUGAAGGAACGUU
rnacentral:rRNA from 1 species